rnacentral:rRNA from 1 species
UACAGAGGUCUCAAGCGUUGUUCGGAUUCAUUGGGCGUAAAGGGUGCGUAGGUGGCGCCGUAAGUCAGGUGUGAAAUUUCGGAGCUUAACUCCGAAACUGCAUUUGAUACUGCGGUGCUUGAGGACUGGAGAGGAGACUGGAAUUUACGGUGUAGCAGUGAAAUGCGUAGAUAUCGUAAGGAAGACCAGUGGCGAAGGCGAGUCUCUGGACAGUUACCGACGCUGAGGCACGAAGGUCAGGGGAGCAAACGGG